rnacentral:rRNA from 1 species
CCUACGGGAGGCAGCAGUGGGGAAUUUUGGACAAUGGGCGCAAGCCUGAUCCAGCAAUGCCGCGUGAGUGAAGAAGGCCUUCGGGUUGUAAAGCUCUUUUGUCAGGGAAGAAACGGUGGGGGCUAAUAUCCCUCGCUAAUGACGGUACCUGAAGAAUAAGCACCGGCUAACUACGUGCCAGCAGCCGCGGUAAUACGUAGGGUGCAAGCGUUAAUCGGAAUUACUGGGCGUAAAGCGUGCGCAGGCGGUUUUGUAAGUCUGUCGUGAAAGCCCCGGGCUCAACCUGGGAAUUGCGAUGGAGACUGCAAGGCUUGAAUCUGGCAGAGGGGGGUAGAAUUCCACGUGUAGCAGUGAAAUGCGUAGAGAUGUGGAGGAACACCGAUGGCGAAGGCAGCCCCCUGGGUCAAGAUUGACGCUCAUGCACGAAAGCGUGGGGAGCAAACAGGAUUAGAUACCCUGGUAGUCCACGCCCUAAACGAUGUCUACUAGUUGUCGGGUUUUAAUUAACUUGGUAACGCAGCUAACGCGUGAAGUAGACCGCCUGGGGAGUACGGUCGCAAGAUUAAAACUCAAAUGAGUAGAGCGUGAGAGNGCGAGACGACGACGAGGGAGGAGG